UACGUAGGGUGCAAGCGUUGUCCGGAAUUAUUGGGCGUAAAGAGCUCGUAGGCGGUCUGUUGCGUCCGCUGUGAAAAACUCGGGGCUUAACCCCCGAGCCUGCAGUGGAUACGGGCAGACUAGAGGUAGGUAGGGGAGAAUGGAAUUCCCGGUGUAGCGGUGAAAAUGCGCAGAUAUCGGGAAGAACACCAGUGGCGAAGGCGGUUGCCUGGAGCUUUUGCUGACGCUGAUGCGCGAAAGCGUGGGGGAGCGAUCCGG
rnacentral:rRNA from 1 species